GGUUUAGAAUGACAUCGCCUCCUCCUCCUUUCUCCUUUGAUCGUCUAUGCCUCCGCUUCCUCUCUCCUUCGAUCAUCUAUGCCCUUGCCCCUGCUUCCUCUCCUUCGAUCAUCUACGCCUCUUCCCCCUCCUCCUUCUUGGCUCUUCUCCUCAUUUCCUCAUAUCUUCUUCUUCGUCAACAUAAGCUGGGCCAUGGUUUUGACUAUCAGCUAUUUCAUACCUAAAAGUAUUGGAUCUUGAGCAAGCAGUGAAAGGGCUAUCUGAAAGAGGUUGUGCGUCUUGCUUUGGAAUUCCAAAUGAAAUAUGUGAUGAUGAUAUAAAGGAGAUUUUGGAUUUGCUCACUAUAUCCGAUAAGGUUAUUAUUACCUCGUGGAUGCUGGUUACACAAAUUGUGAGGAAUUUCUUACACCCUACAGAGGAACGAGAUAUCACUUAUCGGAAUGGAGAGAAGGAUGUGCACCCUUGAACCAUCGAGAAUACUUUAACAUGAAGCAUGCAUCAGCAAGAAACGUGGUGGAACGUUGUUUUGGACUUCUUAAGAUGCGUUGAGCAAUCUUAAGGAGUCCAUUGUUCUAUCCAAUACAAACACAAGGCCAAAUAAUAAUGGGUUGUUGUCUUUUACACAACUUAAUUAGGAGAGAGAUGUCUAUAGAUCCAAUGGAGAAAGAAAUUUAUUAUGAUCCCCUCAUUGAGAACAAUGUAGAUUAUGGCACUACUGAUACCAUUGCCGCAUCCGACCAAUAGUCUGCAUGAAGGGAUAAUUUGGCUACUGAUAUGUUUAAUGGGUGGAUGGCACAUAGAGCAACAUAAGUAUUUGUUGAUCAUUUGAAUGUACUUUAAAGAAUUUUCGUGUUAUUAUUAA